rnacentral:ncRNA from 1 species
AUAGCAGGGGUACUCGAGAUGAGUUGAGAGGAUAUGAUAUCUAACCCUUAGAACCUGAUGGUUAAUACCAGCGUAGGGAGCGAUAUAA